GAUGAACGCUGGCGGCGUGCCUAAUACAUGCCAGUCGAGCGAACAGAUGAGGAGCUUGCUCCUCUGACGUUAGCGGCGGACGGGUGAGUAACACGUGGAUAACCUACCUAUAAGACUGGGAUAACUUCGGGAAACCGGAGCUAAUACCGGAUAAUAUAUUGAACCGCAUGGUUCAAUAGUGAAAGACGGUUUUGCUGUCACUUAUAGAUGGAUCCGCGCCGCAUUAGCUAGUUGGUAAGGUAACGGCUUACCAAGGCAACGAUGCGUAGCCGACCUGAGAGGGGGGUCGGCCACACUGGAACUGAGACACGGUCCAGACUCCUACGGGAGGCAGCAGUAGGGAAUCUGCCGCAAUGGGCGAAAGCAUGACGGAGCAACGCCGCGUGAGUGAUGAAGGUCUUCGGAUCGUAAAACUCUGUUAUUAGGGAAGAACAAAUGUGUAAGUAACUAUGCACGUCUUGACGGUACCUAAUCAGAAAGCCACGGCUAACUACGUG
rnacentral:rRNA from 1 species